rnacentral:lncRNA from 1 species
GAUAGGAUUUUGUUGACUUAGUCAGAAAAUUAAUCGACUCAAUCUUAGAGGACAGCAGAAAAUAGAAAGACUGAUAUUUGAAGUAUUGUUCAGUUAGCCAACAAGUCAGAAUUGAGCCGACUUAGAUGAAAAGUUAGUCGACUCAGAAGUUCAGUUAACCGACCUAGUCUCAAAAGACAAAUAGGAUAGAAACAUAGAAUUUUUGGAUCAUAACUAUUGAGCCAACCAAGUUGUCACUUAACUGAUCCAGAAUCAACUGAGCCGAUCCAAAUGGGGAUUGAGCCGAUCAACUUGCAGAGAAGU